rnacentral:rRNA from 1 species
UACGUAGGGGGCAAGCGUUGUCCGGAUUUAUUGGGCGUAAAGAGCGUGUAGGCGGCCUGAAAGGUCAGCUGUGAAACUCGAGGCUCAACCUCGAGACGUCGGUUGAAACCAUCUGGCUAGAGUCCGGAAGAGGAGUGUGGAAUUCCCGGUGUAGCGGUGAAAUGCGCAGAUAUCGGGAAGAACACCCGUGGCGAAGGCGGCACUCUGGGACGGUACUGACGCUGAGACGCGAAAGCGUGGGGGAGCGAACAGG